GUACUGGCUUUACUGAUUCCUCCUUCUUGAAGAACAGUAAUGUCAUUAAUUUGGUGUUGCAGGGAAACAGGACUGUUACUUUGAAAAAAUUAGAGUGUUUAAAGCAAGCUAACGCUUGAAUACAUUAGCAUGGAAUAAUGAAAUAGGACGUUCGAUCCUAUUUUGUUGGUUUCUAGGAUUGACGUAAUGAUUAAUAGGGAUAGUUGGGGGCAUUAGUAUUCAAUUGUCAGAGGUGUAAUUCUUGGAUUUAUUGAAGACUGACUACUGCGAAAGCAUUUGCCAAGGAUGUUUUCAUUAAUCAAGAACGAAAGUUAGGGGAUCGAAGACGAUCAGAUACCGUCGUAGUCUUAACCAUAAACUAUGCCGACUAGGGAUCGGAUGAUGUUAAUUUUUUAAUGACUCAUUCGGCGCCUUACG
rnacentral:rRNA from 1 species